GGGGGUGAUAUGGUUUCGACGUGGGUGAUGGAACCCAAGGUGCAUGCCGAGGUGCAGUCAACCUCGUAAAACCGGCUGUACAACAAUAGUUGCCAACGACGACAACUACGCUCUGGCUGCUUGACGGCCAGCCUCUGACCGAGCCGUGCUUGUGCGCUCGGGGUUCCUGUGUAACACAGGGCGUCAAGGGGUAACUUUACACAAGAUCGCUAUGAAGCCUUGUCCGGGGCCGAAUAGCUAAAACCCUUCGGGACUCGCCGUACCCUCUCCCUGUUUGUCGGGAAGUGGUAGGGUUAAACAUAAAGACAAGCUAAGCAUGUAGGACCGAAGGCAAAGUGCUUGCGGACGCGGGUUCGAUUCCCGCCACCUCCACCA
rnacentral:tmRNA from 1 species